rnacentral:rRNA from 1 species
UAGGGAAUCUUCCACAAUGGACGCAAGUCUGAUGGAGCAACGCCGCGUGAGUGAAGAAGGUUUUCGGACCGUAAAGCUCUGUUGUUGGUGAAGAAGGAUAGAGGUAGUAACUGGCCUUUAUUUGACGGUAAUCAACCAGAAAGUCACGGCUAACUACGUGCCAGCAGCCGCGGUAAUACGUAGGUGGCAAGCGUUGUCCGGAUUUAUUGGGCGUAAAGCGAGCGCAGGCGGAAGAAUAAGUCUGAUGUGAAAGCCCUCGGCUUAACCCGAGGAAUUGCAUCGGAAA